rnacentral:rRNA from 1 species
GCAUGGUUGUCGUCAGCUCGUGCCGUGAGGUGUUGGGUUAAGUCCCGCAACGAGCGCAACCCUCAUUGUUAGUUACUACCAUUCAGUUGAGGACUCUAAUGAGACUGCCAACGAUAAGUUGGAGGAAGGUGGGGAUGACGUCAAAUCAUCAUGCCCUUUAUGACCUGGGCUACAAACGUACUACAAUGGCCAAUACAAAGAGAUGCGAAGCGGUGACGUGGAGCGAACCUCAGAAAGUUGGUCUCAGUUCAGAUUGAAGUCUGCAACUCGACUUCAUGAAGGCGGAAUCGCUAGUAAUCGCGGGUCAGCAGACCGCGGUGAAUACGUUCCCGGGUUUU